GAGGAAUUUUGCGCAAUAGGGGAAACCCUGACGCAGCAACGCCGCGUGAGCGAAGAAGGCCUUCGGGUCGUAAAGCUCUGUCAAGUGGGAAAAAAGCUUGCCGGUAAACAGCCGGUAAGACUGAUGGUACCGCUGAAGGAAGCACCGGCUAACUCCGUGCCAGCAGCCGCGGUAAUACGGAGGGUGCAAGCGUUGUUCGGAAUUACUGGGCGUAAAGGGCGUGUAGGCGGCGUGGUAUGUCAGAUGUGAAAGCCCUGGGCUUAACCCAGGAAGUGCAUUUGAAACUGCCAUGCUUGAGUAUGGGAGAGGAGAGUGGAAUUCCCAGUGUAGAGGUGAAAUUCGUAGAUAUUGGGAGGAACACCCGUGGCGAAGGCGACUCUCUGGACCAAUACUGACGCUGAGGCGCGAAAGCGUGGGGAGCAAACAG
rnacentral:rRNA from 1 species